rnacentral:tRNA from 13 species
ACGCCUUUUAUAAAAUACCUAUCGCCCUUCUAAGGCGUGGGUCAAAGGUUCGAAUCCUUUAGGGCGUGCCA